rnacentral:rRNA from 1 species
UACCAGCUCUCCGAGUUGUAGGGAUGAUUAUUGGGCUUAAAGCGUCCGUAGCUGGCUUAGCAAGUCUCCUGUUAAAUUCAGCGACCUAAUCGUUGAGCCGCGGGAGAUACUACUAGGCUAGGAGGCGGGAGAGGUCGACGGUACUUUCGGGGUAGGGGUGAAAUCCUAUAAUCCCGGGAGGACCACCAGUGGCGAAGGCUGUCGACUAGAACGCGCUCGACGGUGAGGGACGAAAGCUGGGGGAGCGAACCGGAUUAGAUACCCGGGUAGUCCCAGCUGUAAACUAUGCGGGCUAGGUGUUGGGGUGGCUACGGGCCACUUCAGUGCCGCAGGAAAGCCAUUAAGCCCGCCGCCUGGGAAGUACGGUCGCAAGGCUAGAAACUUAAAGGAAUUGGCGGGGGAGCACCGACAACGGGUGGAGCCUGCGGUUU